rnacentral:rRNA from 1 species
GUGUUGUGUUGUAAGGGCGCAUGGUGGAUGCCUUGGCAUAGUAGGCCGAUGAAGGACGUGAGAGGCUGCGAUAGGCCUCGGGGAGCUGCCAACUGAGCGUUGAUCCGAGGGUGUCCGAAUGGGGAAACCUGGCCGUCGUUGUGGGCGGUCGCCGUUAGAUGAAUUCAUAGUCUAAUUGGUGGUUACGCGGGGAAGUGAAACAUCUCAGUACCCGUAGGAGUAGAAAACAAUUGUGAUUCCGUUAGUAGUGGCGAACGAACGUGGAUGAGGCUAAACCGCGUGCGUGUGAUACCUGGCAGGGUUUGCGUGCGUGGGGUUGUGGGGAUGCAUUGUGCAGGGUCUGCUAGUCCUGCGUUGUGUUGUGUGGGUGUAGCGGAAGUGGAUUGGAAUGUCCUGCCGUAGACGGUGAGAGUCCGGUACGUGAAACACUCGUGCGUGCAAUUGGUGUGUUGCCCGAGUAGCAGCGGGCUCGUGGAAUCUGCUGUGAAUCUGCCGGGACCACCCGGUAAGCCUAAAUACCUGCUUAUGACCGAUAGCGGAUUAGUACCGUGAGGGAAUGGUGAAAAGUACCCCGGGAGGGGAGUGAAAUAGUACCUGAAACCAUGUGCUUACAAUCCGUCAGAGCCCUUUUUUGUGGGGUGAUGGCGUGCCUUUUGAAGAAUGAGCCUGCGAGUCAGCGGCAUGUCGCGAGGUUAACCCGUGUGGUGGGGUAGUCGUAGCGAAAGCGAAUACUAACUAGUGUGUUGUCAGUGGCAUGUCCUGGACCCGAAGCGGGGUGAUCUACCCAUGGCCAGUGUGAAGCAGAGGUAAGACUCUGUGGAGGCGCGAACCCACUUAGGUUGAAAACUGAGGGGAUGAGUUGUGGGUAGGGGUGAAAGGCCAAUCAAACUCCGUGAUAGCUGGUUCUCCCCGAAAUGCAUUUAGGUGCAGCGUCGUGUGUUUCCUCCUGGAGGUAGAGCUACUGGUUGGUUUAGCGGGACUAUCAUCUUAGCGACAUCAGCCAAACUCCGAAUGCCGGUGAGGUGAGAGCACGGCAGUGAGACUGCGGGGGAUAAGCUUCGUAGUCGAGAGGGAAACAGCCCAGAUCGCCGGCUAAGGCCCCUAAGGGUGUGCUAAGUGGAAAAGGAUGUGGGAUCGCGAAGACAACCAGGAGGUUGGCUUAGAAGCAGCCAUCCUUGAAAGAGUGCGUAAUAGCUCACUGGUCGAGUGGUUCUGCGCCGACAAUGUAGUGGGGCUCAAGUACACCGCCGAAGCCGCGGCAAUCACCUUUGUGGUGGUUGGGUAGGGGAGCGUCGCGUGACUGCUGUGAAGCGCUGGGGUAACCCUAGUGUGGAGUGUGCGCGAGUGAGAAUGCAGGCAUGAGUAGCGAAUGAGGAGUGGAAAACUCCUCCGCCGAAUGACUAAGGGUUCCUGGGCCAGGUUAAUCCUCCCAGGGUGAGUCGGGACCUAAGGCGAGGCCGACAGGCGUAGUCGAUGGAUAACGGGUUGAUAUUCCCGUACCCGUGUGUCCGCGCCCAUGGUGAAUCAGGGAUACUAACCCACCUGAACACGCGCCGUUUACUAGCCUUUUAGGUUGGUUGGUGUGUGUGAUGCUGGGGACCUGAACUGGUAGUAGCCAAGUGAUGGGGUGACGCAGGAAGGUAGCCGUGCCACGUGAUGGAUAUCGUGGUGUAAGCGUGUGGCCCGUGUUCUAGGUAAAUCCGGAGCACAUGUGGGUGAGGCGUGAUGCGUACCCGUUUUGGGGAAGUUGGUGAUCCUAUGCUGCCGAGAAAAGCCUCUAGCGAUGUGGAUAUACGGCCCGUACCCGAAACCGACACAGGUAGUCAGGUAGAGAAUACUAAGGCGAUCGGGAGAACUGUGGUUAAGGAACUCGGCAAAAUGCCCCCGUAACUUCGGGAGAAGGGGGGCCAUGACUGGUGACCGACGUGGUUGAGCUGGUUGUGGCCGCAGAGAAUAGAGGGAAGCGACUGUUUACUAAAAACACAGGUCCGUGCGAAGACGGGUAAGUCGAUGUAUACGGACUGACGCCUGCCCGGUGCUGGAAGGUUAAGAGGACCUGUUAGACCCUUUGUGGGUCGAAGCGGAGAAUUUAAGCCCCAGUAAACGGCGGUGGUAACUAUAACCAUCCUAAGGUAGCGAAAUUCCUUGUCGGGUAAGUUCCGACCUGCACGAAUGGCGUAACGACUUCCCUGCUGUCUCAACCACAGACCCGGCGAAAUUGCAGUACGAGUAAAGAUGCUCGUUACGCGCGGCAGGACGAAAAGACCCCGGGACCUUCACUAUAGCUUGGUAUUGGUGUUCGGUUCGGUUUGUGUAGGAUAGGUGGGAGACUG